rnacentral:rRNA from 1 species
ACGAAGGGUGCAAGCGUUAAUCGGAAUUACUGGGCGUAAAGGGUGCGUAGGCGGUUCGUUAAGUCUGUCGUGAAAUCCCCGGGCUCAACCUGGGAAUGGCGAUGGAUACUGGCGAGCUAGAGUGUGUCAGAGGAUGGUGGAAUUCCCGGUGUAGCGGUGAAAUGCGUAGAGAUCAGAAGGAACAUCCGUGGCGAAGGCGGCAUCCUGGGCCAACACUGACACUGAGGCACGAAAGCGUGGGGAGCAAACAGGA